CGCGGCCUAUCAGCUUGUUGGUGAGGUAAUGGCUCACCAAGGCGACGACGGGUAGCCGGCCUGAGAGGGCGACCGGCCACACUGGGACUGAGAUACGGCCCAGACUCCUACGGGAGGCAGCAGUGGGGAAUAUUGCGCAAUGGGCGAAAGCCUGACGCAGCAACGCCGCGUGCGGGAUGACGGCCUUCGGGUUGUAAACCGCUUUCAGCAGGGACGAAGGGUUACCUUGACGGUACCUGCAGAAGAAGCACCGGCUAACUACGUGCCAGCAGCCGCGGUGAUACGUAGGGUGCGAGCGUUGUCCGGAAUUAUUAGGCGUAAAGAGCUUGUAGGCGGUCUGUUGCGUCGGAAGUGAAAACUCAGGGCUUAACCCUGAGCCUGCUUUCGAUACGGGCAGACUUGAGGAAUGUAGGGGAGAAUGGAAUUCCUGGUGGAGCGGUGGAAUGCGCAGAUAUCAGGAGGAACACCAGUGGCGAAGGCGGUUCUCUGGACAUUUCCUGACGCUGAGAAGCGAAAGCGUGGGGAGCAAACAGGCUUAGAUACCCUGGUAGUCCACGCCGUAAACGGUGGGCACUAGGUGUGGGACCCAUUCCACGGGUUCCGUGCCGAAGCUAACGCAUUAAGUGCCCCGCCUGGGGAGUACGG
rnacentral:rRNA from 1 species